rnacentral:rRNA from 1 species
GACGAACGCUGGCGGCGUGCUUAACACAUGCAAGUCGAACGGAAAGGUCCUGCCUUUGUGGGGUGCUCGAGUGGCGAACGGGUGAGUAACACGUGAGUAACCUGUACUUGACCUUGGGAUAACCUCAGGAAACUGGGGCUAAUACCGGAUAGGAGCUCCUGCUGUUUGGUGGGGGUUGGAAAGUUUCGGCGGUUGGGGAUGGACUCGCGGCCUAUCAGCUUGUUGGUGGGGUAGUGGCUUACCAAGGCCUUGACCGGUAGCCGGCCUGAGAGGGUGACCGGCCACAUUGGGACGGAGAUACGACCCAGACUCCUACGGGAGGCAGCAGUGGGGAAUAUUGCACAAUGGGCGGAAGCCUGAUGCAGCAACGCCGCGUGCGGGAUGACGGCCUUCGGGUUGUAAACCGCUUUCGCCUGUGACGAAGCGUGAGUGACGGUAAUGGGUAAAGAAGCACCGGCUAACUACGUG